rnacentral:pre_miRNA from 1 species
UAUGUAUCCUUUGUAAUCUCUUUAUAUUGGGAGCUCGAUGAGAUCGACCCUAACCGAGCCUAGAUAUCGAGAUUUGGUUCGGGUCAAUCUCAUCAAUCUCCCAAUACUUUACAACAUAUAUA